GUUUGAUCCUGAGCUCUCUCCUAUUGCCUCAUAAGGAUCUCCUUUCCAGCAGCUCCCUGUGAUGAGAGCUCCCAGUCAACUUGGCUAGUCAAAGCUGGUAAUGAGCACUAAUCAUUGCACCUGUACAAGUUCCCAAGCAGGCUUCCGUAGCCUUGCUCUAGUCAAGAACAUAGGGAGCAAGCCCUCCAACUAUGGCCUAUUGUUAGGUGUUCAGAGAGAGUUUUGAGGAGCGUCUGUGUGCUUAAGGAGCUUUCUGAUUCCCACGUGGCACUAUAGUAAAAACCCUGUACUACAAAGAGAAGAGUGGAAAAGAAUACAUGACAAUGAAGCAGCCAUCUCUCAGUUUCCAGGACAACAAAAAUACACAAAAAGAAAAAAGAAAUCAACUAAAGCAAAAGGGAAUGGAAAACAAAGCUACGGAAAAAGAAUGAUCCUCCCUAUAAAGAAGCAACUCAGAAGAGAAAACGGAGAAGAGGACAGAAGUACCAAAGAAACGGCAGGAAAAGACAAUGGAAGCAGAAGCCACAGAAAAGGGACACACACCUUGCACACAUGGGCCUCCCUGCAAUGAAGACAAGGGAUUUCCACCGAAGCUUCAUUCCCCCUUGAGGUGCCAGGUAAAAGGACCUCCCUGUAAACGGGGAUCAAGGUCCACCCCUUCCCAGCAAAAAGGCUUGAGGUGUCCGUUUGGUAGCUAAGGCUGAGGGACCCCCCUUUAAGAAGGGUAGCGGUCUCUCUGUGCCUUUCAGCUCUUUAGGAGCUAGGCUUUGAAAUGCCCUGUGCCGUUGACCUCUCCCUGUAAGAAGGGUUCAGGUCUCCCCUUUCUAGACUGUUUUGGGCCGCUGGCACUUGCUGGGCAAAGAGACCCCCCUCUCCUGAGGGAAUGGAGGUUUCUCCCUUUCUCCACUCUAAAAGGGUUUAGCCAAGGCUUAAGGACCACCCUGUAAGGAGGGUUUGGGUCUCCUUUGCCAUGCUGCUUUCGCCACAGGUCACUUGGACAUGCCAGGCAAAAUGACCGCCCUGUAAAUAGGGUGUAAGGUCUUCUCCCUCUCCCUCUUAAGCCCGUGGGGCCUUUCCGUGCCUGUGGCUGAGGGACCCCCUUUUAAGAAGGGUUGAGCGUCUCUUUUCUCUUUGUCCUCGUAAACUGCCCUAGAAAUGAUUUCGACUUGGCUUUUUUGAAAUUUGCAGUCAAAUCCUAUUUGUGACCUGCUUGAAUUGAAGCCGGGGUCCGAUGAAACAUGGUGUGGCGAAGGGGCGGCUGUAAGGGGAUGGUGGAGGCCGUGAUAAAUUCGACCCUUUUUUGAAAAAAGCCAAGAAACCCCCCAAAACAAUCCAAAUCUUUCCAGGUCUGGAAAUGAACAGGUGAGGUGCGAGGCUCCUUUCAGCUCCUCACUUCCACGUAAUCCUUCCUCAUUUCCUCUUGCCUUGCCCAAUUGACACUGUCCCACCAACCUCAGCUUUGACCCUCUGUUUCCUGUGCAGAAUAAAACAUACUGCUGGCUGUAGUAGUGUUCCUUGUCUUGAUUGGGAAAGGUCCCUACGUGGUGUCCCAAUUCCAGGCCUUUGGUCUCUUUGCUGGUAGAGUGAGGCUAUAUUUUUGGACUGUCUUUGAGGUGAUUGAAAGAGCUGUCCUUCCUGACAGCUCUUUGGUGAUCUGGUGGCAUAGGUACACGUGUCGUGGUGUUAGAUCUUGCACGUGGGUGCACCUAACCCUACUAACAGGACUGAGUAAGAAGUAAGGGAUGUCUGUUUUGGAAAAGGGCAGGGGGUUCAAAGUUGGAAUGUUCUUGGUGGGGUAGACAGGUAAGUCGGGAAGGGUGUUGGUGAGGGAUGGAGGAUUCCUUGGUCAUGGGAGGUUCCCUUACCUGUUCAUUUCCAGACCUUUUCACGUCUGUGACUCCUUUCCCCUUCUUUCAAGGAAGUAGGAUUUUUGUGAAGGAAGGGUGACCGCCCUGUAAUUGGGGUUCGGGUCGCUUUCCUUUCCCCCUCUUUGCAUUGGCCCUCUUCAUGCCAAAGUGAGCUCCCUGUAACUAGGGUGUGCAACUUUCCCAAGCUUACUUGCCCAUUUGAAAGCUAGUUAUAGAAAGCAGCCUCUUUGGAGAGUUAGGGGUUUGUCCUUCUAGCUCUCCUGUCGCCGUGCCCUACUCACACGCACAACCAAGUCCAAACCGAGCGAACUCUACAUCCCGCUGGCCCUGACUGCUGCUGCUGCUGCAAGGUUUCCUGCUCUACGCCACAGCAACUCAGAAGAGAAAACGGAGAAGAGGACAGAAGUACCAAAGAAACGGCAGGAAAAGACAAUGGAAGCAGAAGCCACAGAAAAGGGACACACACCUUGCACGCAUGGGCCUCCCUGCAAUGAGGACAUGGGAUUUCCACUUAAGCUUCAUUCCCCCUUGAGGUGCCAGGUAAAAGGACCUCCCUGUAAACGGGGAUCAAGGUCCACCCCUUCCCAGCAAAAAGGCUUGAGGUGUCCGUUUGGUAGCUAAGGCUGAGGGACCCCCCUUUAAGAAGGGUAGCGGUCUCUCUGUGCCUUUCAGCUCUUUAGGAGCUAGGCUUUGAAAUGCCCUGUGCCGUUGACCUCUCCCUGUAAGAAGGGUUCAGGUCUCCCCU